rnacentral:rRNA from 1 species
UGGGGGAUAUUGCACAAUGGGCGAAAGCCUGAUGCAGCGACGCCGCGUGGGGGAUGAAGGCCUUCGGGUUGUAAACUUCUUUUGCUCUGAACAAGGCAUGCUAAUGGGUGUGUUGAGUGUAGGGGUUGAUUAGCGCCGGCUAACUACGUGCCAGCAGCCGCGGUAAUACGUAUGGCGCGAGCGUUGUCCGUAAUUUUUGGGCGUAAAGGGCUUGUAGGUGGCUGGUUGAGUCUGUCGUGAAAGCUCAUGGCUUAACUGUGGGUUUGCGGGGGGUACGGGCUGGCUUGAGUGCAGUAGGGGAGGCUGGAAUUCCUGGUGUAGCGGUGGAAUGCGCAGAUAUCAGGAGGAAUACCGGUGGCGAAGGCGGGUCUCUGGGCUGUUACUGACACUGAGGAGCGAAAGCAUGGGGAGCGAACAGG